rnacentral:lncRNA from 1 species
CAAAGUGAACUACGAAGUUGAAGAUCAAGGUAUGAGCUUUGAAAUACAUUUAUUUAUUUGUGCAUGCAAGGUGGUAAUUAGUUCGUCCUUUAGCUCGUUAUUAGCUAUGUGAUGGUAGUGCUUAGAGGUUAGAAAUAAUUUCAGACGAGAGAUGUAGCAUUUAAACUAUUUUUUGAAAUAGUAGGUUGAAGAUGUUGCAUCAAUAUUAGGUGCGUCCAUUAGUAUUGACAUGCGGGAAAUCUUAAUACGGUAAUUAAGAAAAAAUUGUACUGUAAUUGUUUAUUGCAUGCGGUAUGUUAUUUCAUGUGGUAUGUUAUUUUAUGUGGUAUGUUUAUUAAUAAGUCUAUAGUUAGGAAACCGUAGGUCUACUUUGUUAUGUCGCAAUAAUCUAAAUUUUAUAUGUAAAGAUUAGGUGCUAAUGUACUUAAUGAUGUAUGUAAUUAGGUAAAAUAAUUCAUCUUAGUAGCAAACAAGGAGGAGAAGACGUGAUUGAAGAAAUUGUGUUUUCAUUUUCGCUGUCCCAUUUUGAGGUGAUGAACACAUACAUGGAAGUGCUAUUUUCAUACUUUUGUUAGCAGGAAGAAAAAUCCGUGUGUAAUAUUGUUGUUAAUGUGAUAAUAGGUUGACGAGGUUCAUAUAGUACUGGCGACGGAUAUUUAUUGGAACUAUUUUGACGCUUAAUUGCAUUCGCAAGCACAUCCAUAUUGGAGCUAAGGUGAAAAAUGACACUGUAAUUUUGUUAAUAUUUUUUGUAUUGAUGUACUAUUGUGAAUAAUGUGCAUGCUGCUGCAAAUAUUAUUAUUUGUAGAUAAAUGAUUGUUAUCGUAUGAUGUGAAAAAAAAUUAUAUAAAGCCGAAAGAAAUUAAAUGUUUUACUCAUAUGAUAUUAAAAUGUUAUUAUCGUACUAUUAUAUUUACUGUUUGUUUGGAUAGCGAGUAAUUACCAUGGGUUUUGUCAUAACCUGUUGUGCGAAAAAUAGUUUUUACUAAUAGUCGUUAGAGAAAAAAGAGAGUUUUAGUUUGUGACGCUCGUAGACGAGUUUUAUUUGAACUAUUUGGACUCUUAAUUGCAUUCGCAAGCACAUCCAUAUUGAAGCUAAGGUAUAAAAUGACGCCGUAAUUUUGUUAAUAUUUUUUAUAUUGAUGUACUGUCAUGCCGCUGCAAAAAUUAUUAUUUGUAAAUAAAUGAAUUUUAUCGUAUGAUAUGAAAAACAUUAUAUCAUGCCGGAAGAAAUUAGAUAUUUUACUCAUAUGAUAUUUAAAUGUUAUUAUCGUAAUAUUAUGUUUAGUGGUUGUUUGGAUAGCGAGUACUUACCCUCAGUUUUGUCAUAACCUGUUGUAAGAAAAUUAUGUAGAAAACCAUAUUUUACUAAUAGUCGUUUUUCCAGAAGCUAAGUUUUUGCAUGUUACGAGAACUAUUUUAGGAUAUUUUUGGGGUAGUUAGAGAAAAGCAAACAGAGUUUUAGUUUGUUACGCUCGUAGACAAGUUUGAGAAAAAUAGAUCUUUAAAUACCCGUUAACCAAACAACCCCUUAAAGUCUAAGCAAAUGAUUCUAAAAACAAACCGAAUAUUUAUAACGAAAAUACGGUUAUUAUUUUAGUCGUAAGAUAUGUAAAUGUUGUCAUCGUUACUAAAUGUUCAGUUACUAAUUAUUUGAAAUGUAAACAUGUAUGUUGGUUAGGUACUAUGGAAAAUUUAGUAGUGUACUAUGGGGACGUCUUACGCGACGGUCCAUGCGGGGUGGAUGUGUCCUUCUGCGAGUCGACUACAGUAGUGGUGAGAGACAUGGUCAACGUGGGUUACGCAGCUGUUAGAAGGUGCAUCCGAGCGGUGUUUGGCCCAGUGAUGCAGGAAAAAAAAUGACAAUGGAGGCCUUCGUCGUUGACGGAGGAAAUGAUGGGACAGUUGCCCGUUGGGGUUUGCAGCCUGUCACAGGUGAUCGGUCGUGGGUGUCGUACAUGAGGUUUGCAAGCAAUCCCAAUAACUCAAUGUAUGGUCAACCGAUGGUGUAUGUGGAGUUCAUUUCAGUCACUGAUGUUGCUGGAUGCAGUAGCAGGGGUGGUGAGGUCGAGUUGGCCAUCACAUCAGCCCCUAGCAUCGGCCCAUCGGAACCGACGGGCGGCCAGCCUGUGUAUGACACAGGAUAUUGGUCGGCGGCCGUUGACAUGAGCGAACACGUGGAGGGAUUGCCGGAGGCGCUAGAUGAUGAUGAUCAUUCUUCUGCGUCUUCGGAGUCAAGCGGAGAAGAAGAUGUUCCUCCUCAGAGGGCGGUCGCGACGGCACUGCAACCUGGGUUUUUACAGGAUAUGAGCAUCACCACCAAAUUUCACUCUGCUUCUGGCCUAGGAUUCGAUGCCCGAGCAGUUUCUUUCCCCUAACCCAUAUGCGUACACAGGAUAUGAUGCAUACACCCAAGGUGAGGGAUCUCAGCCGUAUCUCUCCACGCGAGGGAUCCCCAUGCCCGAGGAGACUCGUGUACCAGAUUUAAACCAGCACCACGUACAAUGGCCAGACAGUAUAGGAGAGGGAUAUGCUCAGGUAGUCAUGUUUACAUUUCAAUGCAUUUACAAUAAUAUCAUAUAUUAUCCUCUAACAGUUUGUUUAAAAUGUUUCUAUGUGCAGGACACACCUGAUGUUAAUUGGGGCGAUGAGAACACCCAACGCGGCGUCAACACAGGCCUCCGGGGAGCAUCACAUGAUCAUGGCGUCAACACAGGCCUCCGGGGAGCAUCACAUGAUCUUGGCGACACGGUUACAUCAUUAGUUACAGAGUUCUUCGGAGGGGACGUUAUUGGCCCAUCUUUUAUCCCCCCGGAGUCACAACCAUACGCCUACAAUUACGCUUCAGGUUCGCAACAAGGAUUCGCGACUCCACCACCUACGCAGGACUCGCAGACACAUGAAGCCGAAUUGGAGUACGACCGCGGUUUUCGUGUGCCCCGGCCACCUAAUCGCUUGUCGCCUUCCGGUCGUAAGGAAAGGCCAGGUGGUCGUCGUAAAGUAGGGUGAUUCAUCUAUGCACGUGCGCGAUCCAUUGUAUCUACAUAUGUGUGUAUCAGACUUUUCAAUUUGAACAUCUAUGUAUGCUGAAAUAAAAAUGCACCAGUCAGGAACAAUUUUUCCCGCCUAUAUCUCCCG